GCUGUAGGACAAAAGAACGCGCUAUCUGUGGCCGGAGAUAGGGACUCCCGAGGUGGCCAAUCUAAAGGAAAGCUACUGGACAUGGAAAAUGAGGGAUCCCAAGCACUGUAAGAAGAAGCCGGGGGCUCACCCAAGCCCGGCUCGGCACUGCCCGGCACGCUGGGGAAGGAGGGGCGCAGGGCUGGGGAGAAGGGCGGGCGCCCAGAGCCGAGCGCCCUAAAGCCGAGCCUGCGGGGCCGCCUCCUCCCGGCACCGCCUCCCGGCACCGCGGGGACCCCAGCCCUGUCCCCUCAGCACUGCCCGGCGCCGACACCCGGGGACCCCCGCUCGGUCCCCUCAGCCCCCUCACGGGGCGGGGCCCGGGCCGGUCCCUCUCCCGAGCCGCGCCCGCCGUUGCCGUGGCGACGGGCUAAGCGGGGCCUGGGCGCGGAGGGGCCGGGCCGGAGCCGACCCGCGGCUCGGCGCUGCCGGGGCGGGCAUGCACAACAAAGGCGGCGGGCGACGCGUCCCGGGCGGGCUCCGCAGAUUAUGUUAUAACCUAUGAUCACAGAAAGUCCUGAUCCUCACGUUUCUCUGCUGUCACCUGUGGGCUCUUCCAGAGCCAUGAAGAAGGGGGAACUCCAGCCCCACCAUGACAAGACCGGGUCUUCCGCGCAUGGCGACUCCACCCAUGUGAGAGCUCUCUUAUGUGAGUCCUCAGCAGCACAUUGUGCUGUCUGUGGUCUGUGGACACUGACUGCCAUCUAAGCAACACCACAGCUCCCUCCUCUCCCCCUAGACGCCACUGUCUUAGAGCCUCCAUGUGCAUUUGCUAUGACAUACAUCAGUGUUGAUGAGAGACAGGAACACUGCCGGGUGAUCUCGAGCUGCCAAAAUAAUCAGCUCUGUGCACAACAUGGCUUAAAGGAUUUUUCGGUUAGCAGCAUGCAUCCACUAAAGAACCUAGACACUCACAUUUUUUCUGGGGACUUCCACACUCUAGACUACUGCCACACGGGCAAGGCACCUUUGGCCGGUCCUGUGGAAAACCGGAUGUAUCGGAGCGUGGAGAACCUUCACUGGGCAACUGUUGCCGACUCUGGGCUGUAUUCUCACUGCCGGAGCCUGGAUAACGAGAUCAUCUUUCGCUAUAGAGGCACCAGUCAGUGGACAGAAGGCUGUGUGGAUGUGGCCCCAGUACAGAGCACGUCGGACUCUCCGAGAAACCUUUCUCUCCGUGCUAAACAGACGUCUCGAUCGGCACAGAGCGUGCACCUCCCUCCCUUUGCCAAAGUGCCUCAGUGGCUCUUCCCUUCUGCAGAGGAAAGAGCCUUACAUGGGGAUGCCAGAAAAGAGCUGAAGGAGAAGCUGAGGCUGCACAGCAGUAAGGUGGCAGAGCCCUGUAAGCCAGUGCGUCCCCAGGUGGCCCUGCCUGACCUGAUGGCCCGGGAGUUCUUUGAGUGCCAGGUGUGUCGGCAGUGCAAGAACGGUUGUGCUGUCAACUACUGCACGGUGUUGGUGGAACACACUGCCCUCAGGCACGGCCUCACAGGGAGACAGGGACUGUGCUUUGCACACAGGAUCAUCAGUCCAGAAGACAUCAAGCAGGAGGCUCAGAGGAGGCUUCAGCUCCGAAGGCAGAAUAGCUCCCCCAGUUUGCCCCUUCAGCACACAGGGGAAAGCCAUGAGAUGGGCAAAUCCAGAACAGCAGAAACCCUAGAACAAUACAGUGGGGAAACAGAUGGCAAAGUCACAUUGGGACAGAGCAAGAAAGGUCGCUGUAAAGGGAGGCUCUACAUACCCACCUUUGAGGAAUUUAAGCAGAUGAGAAGAAAGGAAGGAAAUUCAUCUGCCAGCAGCAGUGAGACAACAGAGUGCUUGAAUAAGGGUCUGCCUGCAAACCAGACACUGGAGGAGGAAAAGAAUGUCUGUCCAGAAGCUUUGGGGACCAAAGCUGCCAAUGAAUCUGCUGUCACAGCGGAGGAUGAUGACGAUGUAUUCCACGAAAACCACACCUCUGCUGGCUUUUCCCAGUAUCCAGCCACAUGGGAUGGUUUCAGGAUGAGCAGUCCUGAGCUGAAGGACAAAACCUUCCAUACCUCUAGCCCAGAUACAUCGCCAGUCCCUAUUUGCUCCAGUCCAAUUCCACGAUCACCUUUACAGGCAGUAGCAAUACACAGAACUGGGCAGGAGAUCUUGAGUGAUGAGCAGCAGAAAGGAGAGACAAGAAAAUUAAAUGAUGUCCUCCACCUUGCAGGGCAGUCCCUGGCUUCUGAAGCCCAGUCCUCUUGCUGUUCAUCGCUGCUGUUAGAAGCUACAGACUUAUCCAGCUAUGGAGCUAAGCUACAAAAAAUGAAGGAUGAAUUCAUAGGUUCAGCCUUGGAACUUAUUAAGAAAAGCUGCAAUGCUGAGACUGCUGCCAAAUCCCCCUCUAAGGGACAGUGUGAUCUGAGGGAAACUGAUCUCCCACCUCCGGAGGACAGCCAGCAGCCCACAGCGAUGUCCAUGGCAACAGAGACCUGGGAGAACAAGCCAAGCAAUGAGACAGCCAGCGCCACUCCACCUGCAGGGAAUACCCCCAGUCCUGGCUGUCGCCGAUCCAGCUCCGACAUAGUCCAUGAGAGCACGGAUGGUGCCAAGGCCCAGCGGGAGUGCCGGCUGCGGCCACACUUCAGUGACCCUAUGCCGACAGACUCGGUGAAGAGGAAGCAGCUGGAGCUGAAGAUCGCGGCUGCAGCGCGGCAGCACGCGCAGAAACGCCGGCAGGAGCGAGACUAUGGUCCAGUGGUAGCAAAAGCCAACCUUGGCCAUGGUGGCAGCUUUGAUGAGACUCGCCGUGCCCCACGUGGCUCCCUCCGCUCCAGGCACCAUUGGAGCAAUGUCAGCAGCCUGAGCACAGACAGUGGGAUUGUUGGCGUGAAUGAUGCCCGGGACGACCUGGAUCCCAGCGAGGGCACCCGGACCAAGUCAGCAGAUGUGGAGAGGGCAGAUAGUGGCAUUGGCCAUAUGCCAACCAGGAAGUGGAGGAACAGGGCAUCUGAAACACUGAGCUCCCUGCAGGCCUGGGAAGCCCACCGUCCCUGCACUGACUGUGGAGAAAGGGACCUGCCGGUGGAGACAGAUGUUCAGAACUGCAACCAGAGGCGGGCUGACCUCUGCGAGAAGUGCCGCAAGCGCAGGACGGAGCGCAAGGAGUCUGUGCUGGAGUUUGUCAACACAGAGGCCAGCUAUGGAGAGGACCUGCGCAUCAUUAAAGAGGAGUUCUACCUCCCCAUGCAGGCGGCCGGGUUGCUGAGCCAGGAGCAGCUCCAGGGCAUCUUCAGCAACAUCCAGGAGCUCAUUGACCUCAAUGAGAACUUCCUGGAGAUACUUCAGGAAGAGAUCGAUCAGGCCUUUGACCAGGGGGAUGAUGACCUGAUGACUGUGUGCAUCGGAGAAAUAUUCCUAGAGUUUGUCAACAUGCUGCCAGCCUUCCAGACCUACUGCCUCCAGCAGUCCUCCUCUGUGAACAUGCUCAACGCACUGGAGAAGGAAAAGGAGUUGCUCAGAAUAUUCCUCAAUGUCUCCCAGAAUGACAACACAGCGCUGCGGCGGAUGAACUUGAGGUCCUUCCUGAUGGCCCCUCUGCAAAGAGUCACCAAGUACCCACUGCUGCUCAGCAGAAUCAUCAAGGCCACCACCGAGUACCACCCGGAUCACGGCAGCCUGCGGGAGGCCAAGAGCCGCAUCGAGUCCCACCUGGAGCACAUCAACAUGAAAACCAAGCAGGAGGGGAACACAUGGACCCUCCGAUCCUUUCGCCAGGACAGCAAGAAGAAGAGGGAAGUCAUUAAUAUUGAGAUGAGAGAAACUGCCCUCAAAACUGUUGGUUGGCUGCGGGAGGAAACGCGAUUUGUGAUGGAGGGGUCUCUGCAGCUGGCCCAGCCCCCCGAUGGCCAGUGGGUGAAAAAAGGCAGCAAGACCCUGAAGUUCCAGAACAUGCAGGUUCUCCUCCUGGUGAACAUGAAGCGUGUGUCUGAGUCCAGCCUGGAAUCAGCCGAGCCAGGGCCUGUGAAGGAUGCUGUGCUGGUACUCAUCAGGGACAAAAAUAACGGGAAGUUCCAUUUGCUCAGGGAGCCCUUGAGGCUGAGUAAUUGCAUUGUCUCUACUGAUCCAGACUGUGACGACACUUUUGAACUCAUUGAGAUCAGGAGGGAGGCGUUUGUGUUCCGGGACAGCGACCGGGCACGGACUCACCACUGGUUCAGGCAGAUCAGGCGGUACUCCAGGGAGCUGGGCUCCUGGAAGAAGCGGCGGAAUGCGCUGCCCAACAUCAUGAUCAGCACUCCUCACACCAGGCCCUGAGUCCUGCACGGGCUGACUUGGCUUGACCAAUGUCAUGUGCAGAGACCAUCAAGAGCCUCAGUGGCUUGAACUUGCUGUGCUCCAUGGACAACACAGGGAGGAGUCUGACCCCCAAAGACUCUUAACAGCACUGGAAGCACCACAGCCUAAUGCUGGUCUCCAGCCUCAGGACUCACAACCAGUUUGUGACUCAUGUACAUACAGAGAUGGUCUCCCCUCGAGGAGCAGAUCACUAGAGGAAAAUACUGUUUAACUUGUUGAUAUUGCACUGCAGGAGAAUGAUGUAUGAUGCUUGCCAUUGCAUGGAUCGUGUUGAAAGCCAGUCUUGAUGAGAGAGGUUUCCACUACUGACUGCAUUUCAUCAGCAUUAGGCAUUUUAUUUUACAGGAGGAUUCAUACAAGCACAUUCAUGUAUUUCUCCAGAGAUCAACCAGCAUCAGUGGGCACCACAUGAAGGCAGACAGAAGCCACAUUCUUAAAGGUAGCCCUAGUCUUGUAAAGUCACCAAUGACACAAUCCCUGAGCAGGCCUCAAACUGUGCCCAGUGCUUUGUCCUCUGGCCACAGCUGCCAGGGCUUGUUACACUGCUCCAAGCACUGAGACAGAGACCAGCAGUGAGACAUGCUGUGUCUCACUGUAUUUUCUCUUCAUCUGCACCAUCCAGCAUUCUGGUGCUUCAUUUUGUCCUAGAGGAAAUGGAAAGAUUUGCAUCAUCUGGAGGGUGCUCAAGAUGUGAGGGUGGCUGCACAUAGCUGAGCACUGUAGUGAGCAAUAGCUGUCAAAAUGCUUGUCAGGGCAGCAGCCUGGCUCCCUCAGGUGAGCUGGAAUUCCCUCCAGCUAUUUCCUAGUUGCUAGACAAUAAUUGUUUGUUCCCCAAAAUACUGAACAGCCAGUGAAGAGCAUGAGGCAUUGCUUUAGUUUGCUGUUUGUUUUUCACAGAGAUGGAUGCCUGAGCAGAGCAGCUGCUGGAGGAAAAUUUCUCUUAUGCUGUCAUGAGAGAUCUGCAUCUAUGAACCUUCAAGCCCCAUUCACCUCACACGUAAAAAGCAACAGCUUGUAGCACCUUUGUCUUCCCUGCCAGGAUCACAAUGGCACAGCCAUCUUCUCUUCAUUACCUCUGGGGCAGCUUUGACAAGGCAAGGCAUAGGUACAAGUAAGUGUAACAGAUUAAUUUAUCCAAACAGCAAGUGGCUUUCACAGCCACAAAAGCUGCUGCUUUCUGGAAAGUUUUCAAUUACUUUCCAGCACAGUGAUUUUCUCCACAUCAAUUCAUGCUCGAAACCAGCUGUGGACUGUUUGUACAGUCAUAUCUUUCAAUCAAGAUACCUUCAGCCAGCCUGGCUGUUCAGAAAGGUUAGAGAACAAUAAGUAUACGUAAAAGGUCUGAUAUUUAGCAUCGAGCUUGUGUUUGGCUGAUUGUUCAAUUUGUUAGAUUCAGGGUAUUUCUAGGUAUCACAGGAAGCACCUGCCUGCCGGGCUCCAAGUAAUCAUGGCCUAUUUCCUCUGAACCAAGCAAACUGUCCCCAGAAGAGGGUCCAUAAAUAAUCACAGGGUGUUGAGUUACAAGCAGGACAUGUACUUGGUGCUGUAGUCCUGUCUAAAAAACCUGUGGCCAGGGAACAGUACAAGCCCUUUGAUCUGGGACAGCCUGCUAGGGGAAGCGACAGUGGGAUUGUUGAACCUGUCAAACCAGACAGAGGUUGUGCUUCCAACACACGUGCUCCUUUUAUGUAUCCGAUGUGUACACAGCUGCUUGGCUGCCUGUAAAUUACAGGUGUUGAAAGGGAACUCGAGCAUGGAACAAUCCCUAUGGCCCUGGAGAGCCCGUGAUGUGGGGUGAGGCGGCACAGGAAGGGCGAGGAGUGCCAGCACACUGACAAGGCAGUAGAUUUCCAUAAUCCUUAGACACCUUUCUGAACUGCAUGAUCCCACUCCUGGGACGUUCCAGGUCUUUCAGCAUCACAUGUACAUGUCUUACUUGACAGCCAUGGAGAUUAGUUGUGCUGUAUUUUUCCAUUUCUGAUUAACAAACUGACAAAAUGCUAUUAUAACCCAGGGUACUUGGGAACGGGGUUGUCUGUAAGCCAAGAAAGCAAUUAUUUGUUCCAAACUCCAUCAUA